rnacentral:hammerhead_ribozyme from 1 species
AUCCAGCUGACUAGUCCCAAAUAUGACGAAACGCGCGUUCUGAAU